GAUGAACGCUGGCGGCGUGCUUAACACAUGCAAGUCGAACGAUGAAGCCCAGCUUGCUGGGUGGAUUAGUGGCGAACGGGUGAGUAACACGUGAGUAACCUGCCCUUAACUCUGGGAUAAGCCUGGGAAACUGGGUCUAAUACCGGAUAGGAGCGUCCACCGCAUGGUGGGUGUUGGAAAGAUUUAUCGGUUUUGGAUGGACUCGCGGCCUAUCAGCUUGUUGGUGAGGUAAUGGCUCACCAAGGCGACGACGGGUAGCCGGCCUGAGAGGGUGACCGGCCACACUGGGACUGAGACACGGCCCAGACUCCUACGGGAGGCAGCAGUGGGGAAUAUUGCACAAUGGGCGCAAGCCUGAUGCAGCGACGCCGCGUGAGGGAUGACGGCCUUCGGGUUGUAAACCCCUUUCAGCAGGGAAGAAGCGAAAGUGACGGUACCUGCAGAAGAAGCACCGGCUAACUACGUG
rnacentral:rRNA from 1 species